GCAGUUGUGGCCUAAUGGUUAGAGUGUCGGACUUGUAAGGUGAACUCGAAGGUCGUGGGUUUGAGUCUCAGGUCCGGCA